AUUGAACGCUGGCGGCAGGCCUAACACAUGCAAGUCGAACGGUAACAGGAAACAGCUUGCUGUUUCGCUGACGAGUGGCGGACGGGUGAGUAAUGUCUGGGAAACUGCCUGAUGGAGGGGGAUAACUACUGGAAACGGUAGCUAAUACCGCAUAACGUCGCAAGACCAAAGAGGGGGACCUUCGGGCCUCUUGCCAUCGGAUGUGCCCAGAUGGGAUUAGCUAGUAGGUGGGGUAACGGCUCACCUAGGCGACGAUCCCUAGCUGGUCUGAGAGGAUGACCAGCCACACUGGAACUGAGACACGGUCCAGACUCCUACGGGAGGCAGCAGUGGGGAAUAUUGCACAAUGGGCGCAAGCCUGAUGCAGCCAUGCCGCGUGUAUGAAGAAGGCCCUCGGGUUGUAAAGUACUUUCAGCGGGGAUGAAGGGAGUAAAGUUAAUACCUUUGCUCAUUGACGUUACCCGCAGAAGAAGCACCGGCUAACUCCGUG
rnacentral:rRNA from 1 species